CAUUCGUACCAAAAUGUAUGGUCAAACUUGUUUUUGUUAUGGAGCACUCCUCAUCAGAUGUGUGCGAUGAGUUUUAUGCGAGUGCGAGUUGUAUGUGCACAGUUGUGUGCCGGCACAUACGGCGACUUUCCGCUUAACCGCACAAGUGAGCUGUGUGGUUCCAUCGGUGUUUUGAUGGCUUUUGCGAUGGAGCGGUCAAGAAAACGGCUUCUGCUGGUGUCUAUGUGUUGCUGAGCAGUCGUCUUCGUCCGUGGCUGUGAUGAGGCAAUGCGGUAGGGCCUGUAUACGGUGUGUGUAUGCAUGGCUUAAGACUUGAUGAGCCCAUUUAUAGUGUGUGGGACGCCAGCACCCCAUUUUUUCCAAUAUUUUUUUUAUGACAAAUGGAAAAUUCUAGUCUUAUCGGUGGAUCACUCGGCUCGUGGGUCGAUGAAGAACGCAGCUAACUGCGAUAAAUAGUGUGAACUGCAGAAACCUUGAACACAAAAGCUUCGAAUGCACAUUGCACCAUGGGAGUCUUAUCCCUUGGUACGCCUGGUUCAGGGUCGUAAACCCUAAAACGCAUAUGAAUGCGUAUAAAACAGAGAUAGCUUCACUAAUUGCCUGUGAAGUGUAGCUAUAAUUCAUGCAAAAGUUGCACACUAUUGGUGUGAUGCGGGGUAGAGCACUCGACUUAGUAAUUGGGAUUACUAAAUUAUAGUCGUAGUGUUCAUCGGGGCAGACACCUCUCGAAUCGCAUCUGGCCAAACCAUGUGUGGGUGUUCGUGUGUGACUUUGAGUGUUUGUGUGUUUUUUUUUCACUCACUACAUCGAAUUUUCGACCUGAAC
rnacentral:rRNA from 1 species